ensembl:lncRNA
GGAAAAUCCGAGGAGCACUUGAAGGCAGCACGUUAAACCUUCUCUUUCGCCAAACCUCCCGGAGAGCUGAACCAAACGUUCCCUCACCCUCCACUCAGGGCUCCGUGUGGGGGAGGAACGUGCCGAGGGACACCAGGCGCAGGACAGACACGCAACACAGCGGUGCUCUCUCCUCUGCUGGACGUGCUGUUUGCUUCCGUCUCCCCGAGGCGCGCGCUGUGUGAACCGGAGAAAGUUUGAUGUCCUGCGUGGACGGAGCCGCGGUGGAUUUGGGAGACUGAAUGAACGCGGUCCGCUCGGCUGAGACGACGCGGAGGACCGAGCGGGACCAGGUCAGAGGCCCGUCUGUUCACUUCCUCCCAUCAAGUCCACCUCUGUUCCUCUUCUCGUCUCCCCGGCGGCGGCGGCGGAGGAGGAAAGCGUUUUAACAAACAAGUGACGUAACGCCGAGCAGGACCAACCCGGCUCGUCUCCUCGGCCAGACAAGGUGACUUUGGUGGAGCGAGACGGCUGUUAGUGCUCCACCAAAGUCACAGGAGAAGAUAAUCAAAUCACGUCAUGUAGUCGUCCUCUCUCGAAGCCCUUUUUACCUUCUUAUUUAUCUUCUCUGCGUCGUCACAUGACUUCCACGAGGAAUGCAGAGUAGGGGCUCCUCGACCCAUCUCACUGAUUGUGUCCUUUUUUAAAAAAUGUAUUUAUUCAUUUUCUAAAUCUAAAGUCACCUACAUUCAUCUUCGGCUCCGUGGAGGAGCAGAGCAGGGUGCGGAAUCCCAAUCCCUGCUUGACCAUUUUUCCCGACAUCCACUCGCGUACUGUGGCUUCUCACCAGCCGUAAGCUCCUUUCCCCCCCCCCCCACUCCUCGCUUGAAGAUGCCCCAGAACUUAAGCAUUUUCACACCCAAGCAGGGCUGAGUGCCUUUCAACGGCUUUUUGAUGUUGGAAUUCUGCGCAGUCAAAAGUGGGGGAGGCUGUGAAAAGGUGAAGUGGGUCAGGGAGGUUUUCCCUCCCGCGCUGUGAGCCACUGUGAAAGGAAAACGCUGAACGGGGAGGUUCGCCGUGGCUUUGUCGAGGUCUUCAACACAGCACCACUGCAGAGAACUUUGUCUUUAAUCUUUUGUCUGAUCCUCUGCCCAAAUUUGGGAAUGCAAAUUUUUCCAAACCCCUGAGAAAAAAAAAAAAAGGAGACAAAAAGCAAGCGGAGCAGCGCUGCAUGAGCCUUGGUUCUGGAUUCAGCCCUAAUUAGGAACUCUCAGCUGGGCCUUGGCCUCUGCGUUUUGCUAUUCAAAUCUAUUAAAAUGAGAGGAUAUGCAAUUUUAAUGCUCUGCUGUGGUUAUUGUUGGGUUUGGAUUAUUUGCUUGUUCGUUGGGGAGGUUUCGGCUCAGCGGCUUGAAAUCCUUCAUAUCACCCGGAGCAAAAACGGUGUGCG